GCAAGGAAAAGGAAGAAACAGAGUAGAGAGAGAGAGAGACCCAAAAGGAGAACAAGACAAAGUCAAAGACAAGGUCAAGGUCUCUCUCUCUCUCUCUCUCUAUUCUGUCUUUCUCCCCGCUUAGCCCU
rnacentral:miRNA from 1 species